CCUACGGGGGGCAGCAGUGAGGAAUAUUGGUCAAUGGACGAGAGUCUGAACCAGCCAAGUAGCGUGAAGGAUGACUGCCCUAUGGGUUGUAAACUUCUUUUAUAUGGGAAUAAAAUGUUCCACGUGUGGGAUUUUGUAUGUACCAUAUGAAUAAGGAUCGGCUAACUCCGUGCCAGCAGCCGCGGUAAUACGGAGGAUCCGAGCGUUAUCCGGAUUUAUUGGGUUUAAAGGGAGCGUAGGUGGAUUGUUAAGUCAGUUGUGAAAGUUUGCGGCUCAACCGUAAAAUUGCAGUUGAAACUGGCAGUCUUGAGUACAGUAGAGGUGGGCGGAAUUCGUGGUGUAGCGGUGAAAUGCUUAGAUAUCACGAAGAACUCCGAUUGCGAAGGCAGCUCACUGGACUGCAACUGACACUGAAGCACGAAAGCGUGGGUAUCGAACAGGAUUAGAUACCCGGGUAGUC
rnacentral:rRNA from 1 species